rnacentral:rRNA from 1 species
UGGGGAAUUUUGGACAAUGGGCGAAAGCCUGAUCCAGCAAUGCCGCGUGUGUGAAGAAGGCCUUCGGGUUGUAAAGCACUUUUGUCCGGAAAGAAAUCCUUGGCUCUAAUACAGUCGGGGGAUGACGGUACCGGAAGAAUAAGCACCGGCUAACUACGUGCCAGCAGCCGCGGUAAUACGUAGGGUGCAAGCGUUAAUCGGAAUUACUGGGCGUAAAGCGUGCGCAGGCGGUUUGCUAAGACCGAUGUGAAAUCCCCGGGCUCAACCUGGGAACUGCAUUGGUGACUGGCAGGCUAGAGUAUGGCAGAGGGGGGUAGAAUUCCACGUGUAGCAGUGAAAUGCGUAGAGAUGUGGAGGAAUACCGAUGGCGAAGGCAGCCCCCUGGGCCAAUACUGACGCUCAUGCACGAAAGCGUGGGGAGCAAACAGGAUUAGAUACCCUGGUAGUCCACGCCCUAAACGAUGUCAACUAGUUGUGGGGAUUCAUUUCCUUAGUAACGUAGCUAACGCGUGAAGUUGACCGCCUGGGGAGUACGGUCGCAAGAUUAAAACUUAAAUGAAUUGAC